GUCCACGCCGUAAACGAUGAGUGCUAGAUGCUGUGGGUAUUGACCCCCGCGGUGUCGCAGCCAACGCGUUAAGCACUCCGCCUGGGGAGUACGGCCGCAAGGCUAAAACUCAAAGGAAUUGACGGGGGCCCCGCACAAGCGGUGGAGCAUGUGGUUCAAUUCGACGCAACGCGCAGAACCUUACCUGGGUUAAAUCCACUCAAAGCUGCCAGAGAUGGCGGGGUGCCCUUCGGGGAAUGAGUGAGACGGUGCUGCAUGGCUGUCGU
rnacentral:rRNA from 1 species